rnacentral:tRNA from 1 species
GGGGGUAUAGCUCAGUGGUAGAGCAUUCGACUACAGAUCUAAUGGUCCUUGGUUCAACUCCGAGUGCUCCCU